UGGUGCCAGCAGCCGCGGUAAUUCCAGCUCCAGAAGCGUAUAUUAAAGUUGUUGCAGUUAAAAAGCUCGUAGUUGGAUCUGGGUCGCAUGGCUACAUGCUGUUCUUGUACACUUGACUUUGUUGAGUGUGCGGGUCGGCGUCGUGGUUGUGCAGCCUUCCUGCCGUGUCUGUUUCGACAGGUGCUGGGUAAGUCUACUAGAUUUCUCGGCAUGCUUCCAGAUGCCUUUAACCGGGUGUCGGGAGCGGACGGCACGUUUACUUUGAACAAAUUUGAGUGCUCAAAGCAGGCCGUUGAGCCUGAAAAUUCUUGCAUGGAAUAAUGGAAUAGGACUUCGGUUCUAUUUUGUUGGUUUUCGUAUCCGAAGUAAUGGUUAAGAGGGACAGACGGGGGC
rnacentral:rRNA from 1 species